rnacentral:rRNA from 1 species
UAUACUGCAAGUCGAGCGGACCGACGGGAGCUUGCUCCCUUAGGUCAGCGGCGGUACGGGUGAGUAACACGUGGGUAACCUGCCUGUAAGACUGGUAUAACUCCGGGAAACCGGGGCUAAUACCGGAUGCUUGAUUGAACCGCAUGGUUCAAUCAUGAAAGGCGGCUUCGGCUGCCGUUUACAGAUGGACCCGCGGCGCAUUAGCUAGUUGGUGAGGUAACGGCUCACCAAGGCGACGAUGCGUAGCCGACCUGAGAGGGUGAUCGGCCACACUGGGACUGAGACACGGCCCAGACUCCUACGGGAGGCAGCAGUAGGGAAUCUUCCGCAAUGGACGAAAGUCUGACGGAGCAACGCCGCGUGAGUGAUGAAGGUUUUCGGAUCGUAAAGCUCUGUUGUUAGGGAAGAACAAGUACCGUUCGAAUAGGGCGGUACCUUGACGGUACCUAACCAGAAAGCCACGGCUAACUACGUGCCAGCAGCCGCGGUAAUACGUAGGUGGCAAGCGUUGUCCGGAAUUAUUGGGCGUAAAGCGCGCGCAGGCGGUUUCUUAAGUCUGAUGUGAAAGCCCCCGGCUCAACCGGGGAGGGUCAUUGGAAA